UUGAUACUCCCUCCGUCCGGAAAUACUUGUCAGAGAAAUAUAUAAAAAUGGAUGUAUCUAGAACUUAAAUAUGUCUAGAUACAUCCAUUUCUCCGACAAGUAUUUUUGGACGGAGGGAGUACAAG
rnacentral:pre_miRNA from 1 species